GUGGGCUCCCUCCCCACUCAGAGACCGCCCCCCUCACCCCGUGGGUUUUAGUUGUACACAGGUGUAGCUCCCAACCUUGAUUUCAUCUGCAGACCAAGUAUCUGGCUCAGUCACCUGCCAGCCUAGGACUCUACAGAAAGGAACUAACGACUUGAUGCCUCAUUUCCAUCUGUGAAAUGGGGCUGGUAAUGCCACAUGGCUUAGAGCAGUGCCAGACCUAAACCAGCAUCCAAAGGGGGUGAGCUCUUCUUGCCAUCACGUCAGUGAUCCCUGCGCAUGCUUCCCCGCCCAGGGGUCUCACCCUUACAGUGGCUCAUGAUACUCACGGAUUUUCAGAUAGUUCCAGAAGACAUAGAGGAAAUGACAACCUUCGAGGCGAGGGACUGAGAAAAAGCACUCCCUUUUAUGGAAGAGAAUACUGCUUCCCAAGGACGUGAACUGACUUGCCCAAGGUCGUCUAGACAUCAACAAAGAGGCCAACCAGGCCGUUACCCCGCCAUUCUACCGCACAAGGGCCUCCCCAGUCUAGGUCUGCCCAUAAGGGGGUGCACAGACACUCCCACGUUGUGUGUUUUGUUCUAUUUGUGCAUUUCCCAGCCCGCCACCCAGGGACCAACUUUCCCCUUCUUUGCGGGUCCUCACUAGCCCUGACCCUGACCCGCCAUAAUCUUAGACCCAUGGUAAGUGGCCAACAAGUUGUUGUUGCUCCAAGUAAUUGAAGUAAUUAAGCACGCCCGGGUAUUGCAUUAAAGUGACAACUUACCUAA